UAAGAGUCCAACUUCAUUCUUUUGCAUAUGGGUAUCCAAUUUUUCUAGCAUCAUUUGUUGAAAAGACCAUCCUUUCCGUAUUGAAUUGUGCUGGCAACCCCAUACAAUUUUUAAAAAUCAAUUCAUUAAACAUUUCAUUUUAAGGUCUUCGAGGAAAUAGAAGUUCUUUUCUCUCAACUGUAACUAGAGGCUGAAGCUCUUAGGUGAUUAUAAAAGUAUGUUGUAUUAUAAAUGCAGGUUAAAAAAAUUUUAAUAUAUCACUGAGUUCAACACGAUCAAUCAAGAAAUCUAAGUACGCAUUCCAAUAUAUGACUUUUAUAGUUGCCCUGGGAGCACAGCUCCAUGAGAUUGCACAGGGUGGAAAGCUACUGCAUUAAGGCCUGCACCCUAGGCGACAGCCUGAGAGGAGGUUCUGUGGCAGGUGCCGCACCAAAGAAUGGCAUCCUCUUUGUUUCUUGGAAUGUGACACAAAUGCAUUGGAGAAAGCAUGGACUCUUUUUAUUUCGAAUGUGCCCAAACCUAAAAUUAGACCAAGGAAUAUCUAAAUGCCAGAGAAAUUUGGCAGAAGCCAUUUAAGCAAGAAAUUCUAACAUCUAUUUAUUCAAAACCUGUUAAAUAAUGUAUUACAAAAAGAUGGUAUGGCUAACCAUUUUGUUCAUAUUCCUUCUCCACUAUCUCCAUUUCUUUGCCAAAUAACUUAGAUGAGUGUUAAUUAUUAAAAUGGUCACAUUUUAGUCAAGUGACCAAUCCUUAAUUAAGCUCUGACCUUGUACUUAUUGUGCUUUGCUUGGUGUAAUUUAGCAGUUUUUUAGAGACAAUCUUCGUAUCCCUUUCACAGUUUUCUCAGGCUCAGCUUUUCCAUUUUGAAACCUUAGAUUACCACAGUAAUCUUGAUUUUACAGCAAAUGGGCACAGAACAUGAUAGAUCUAUGCCAAUGCAAUUAUGGCAAGCGUCUUGGUGCAGUAGGUAACAAGGAGCCGACCUGUGGCGCUUCUCCCCACAGUGCUCAUCCCCACCCCAAAGUAUGUAAUCCAUUAGCUCUCCUUUGGAGGCCAGAGAAUCUCCUCUACAAAUCUGACCUGUGUGUUCUGCCAUGCGCUUGACAUCUCCUCCCAGAGUGGGAGAACACCAUCUGGGCACCGGAUGCUGUUAAUAAUAAAAUGCAUUUAAAAGAAGUAGUUAUUUCUUCCUUGGAUCAGAACUGCAUGUUCUAUACUGUACUCUUAAGUGUUUUUUUCAUCGGGGCGUGUUAGCAGUGAUAACGAACAAAGACCAGAUUCCUUAUUCAAAGGGUGGUUAGCUCUCAAAAGUUGAAGCUGGUUCCUCAGUGGAUCCGUGGAUUUGAGGAUAAAGUUCAGGUGUGCUUGAGACCACAGCUACAGGUCUGCUUUGAGGACAAUGAAACCCAGAUAAGGAGGCAGCGACCUUUGGGGUUUGGGGGGACACAAGAAAAAACGAACAUAAACCACCAGAGUGGAGUCAGUAACUCAGCAAAAAAUCCAGAGUUUAUAUUGAGAAGACUUCCUUGGUUUGGGGUUUUGAGGGGCUCAUAGAGGGAAUCGGGGAUGCUUGAUUAUACGGUUCUGUUUCCUUUUCGUGGUCUCAAGUUUUUAAAGAAUGUUUUGUGUGUGUGUCUUUAGAAUUGGUGAAGGAAUGAACCUCACUUUUUUAAUCCCUGAGCUUCUCAAACCAUGAGUCACUGGAGCAUUGUCCUCCAAGGCAGGCUUACAAAGCUGACGGUGAAUGGAUCACAGGUCAGGUGCAGAGCUUUCGUCUCCGAGAAAUGAUCAAGCAAGGAAACACCCACAGGCACAGGCACGACUCCAGGAAUCCGGCAUCGGCACCGAAGUCAGAGCCUGGCCCUGGACAGCUUUGGUGCUUUCUCUUACGAUGGAGUCCGUGCACACAUUUCACUUCUCCCGGUGCCCUCCGGCACCGAGAGUCCAGUUUGCCAACUGCAGCACCAUGCAUGGACGUCUUUCCCUGUCGGUGCGCACAGCGGAAAGCCGUGGCCGCAGUGGACGUCCGGAGGUGAGCCUGGACGCCACGGGGUCCUGGGGAUGGCGCUGGAAGAUUCUAUAGAAGCAUUUCUGUGAGGAGAGAGGGGACGGACGGACAGGAAAUGUCCUGAGCUACUUGAGUCCUUCAGCAGUUUCUCUUCAGGCAAGUUUUCUUCUCUUUUAAAUAUAUAACUAUAAUGUAUUUGAAUAUGUAAAUAUAACUAAAAUUUGUGAGAAUGGGGCUGGCUGCCAGGG